rfam:Duganella sp. Leaf126 contig_8, whole genome shotgun sequence.
GUAUGACACGGUCCGACGGUGGCAGGUCUUGCCUCGACAUUUGGACGUGGUGCGAUGAC